rnacentral:rRNA from 1 species
AACGAACGCUGGCGGCAUGCCUAACACAUGCCAGUCGAACGAGACCUUCGGGUCUAGUGGCGCACGGGUGCGUAACGCGUGGGAACCUGCCCUUAGGUUCGGAAUAACUCCCCGAAAGGGGUGCUAAUACCGGAUAAUGUCUUCGGACCAAAGAUUUAUCGCCUUUGGAUGGGCCCGCGUUGGAUUAGCUAGUUGGUAGGGUAAAAGCCUGCCAAGGCGACGAUCCAUAGCUGGUCUGAGAGGAUGACCAGCCACACUGGGACUGAGACACGGCCCAGACUCCGACGGGAGGCAGCAGUGGGGAAUAUUGGACAAGGGGCGAAAGCCUGAUCCAGCAAUGCCGGGUGAGUGAUGAAGGCCUUAGGGUUGUAAAGCUCUUUUACCCGGGAUGAUAAUGACAGUACCGGGAGAAUAAGCGCCGGCUAACUACGUG